CAAUCUCUCUCUCUGUCUGCCACAACUCUAGUAUCUCAAAGAGUGCCUGAGACAUAUUCAAUAAACACUAGUUGCUUGUGACCUCUGGACUAGCUCACAAGUGACACCAUGUAUCCACUUCUGGUUUCAGUUGCCAGAGCACAUUAAUGAGUUACAACAAAAAACGGCACCCAGGGACACAGCACCCGGGACUGAAGCUCUUACCACGGAGGCAGAAAUGCACAGCAGACAAAUAUCAAAGG